UGGCACCAGCACUGGCGGUGG
rnacentral:miRNA from 1 species